GGUUUCCAAUAAGGCAAUGUAAAGGAUAUCCAGCCUCAACAAGUGCUUUUGUUGCCAACGCCUACUGCAGAGCACAGUGAGGAGGCUGCCAAGAAGAGUUUCAGAAUAGAUGAAGGCCCUUCACAAAGGUCUAAAGACUGGUUGUGAGCAGGCACGGACAGACCGACUAUCCACCAUUUUUGCCUCCAAAUAUUUUCCAAGUUUUAACUCCUCAUGAGAGACUGUUCUUGUCUUGCUCAGUUCCUAUUUAGGCUUCUUGGAGCUUUUCCUCCCAGGUGGUUCCCUAGAUGCCAUCCAACGUAAAGAAAACUCUGAAAGGAUGCUUAGUCUUCAAAAUGCUGAAAAAGUCAAGGAAAUGAUUAUUUAAAACUGUUAUCAGCCUGCUUAUCCAUCUCAGAUAACAUUCUCGUCUGUCGUACUUGAUGCAGAGAAGCUUCAGGUUGUGUUAAUAACCAACGCCGGGAUAUAAAUGGUUUGUCUGUAAGUUAAUGCAUACCUGCACUCUGUUACAGGAAAGGUAAUACGCUACCGUUUUAAUAGAUGUUAGAGUUGAAAUGGGAGGCUCUACCAGUCAAAACUCGGCCUAACAACCUUAAAUGGAAGUGAACGCUUUCUGAUCAUGUGUACGUUGGUUUUUGAUGCGCACAGUAGAUUUGAAAGCACCGCUGCCUUGCAUACCAAUAGCACUAGGAGUGGGUUAUUUUCCAAGACAGCCUCACAAAAUUGAGGAACAGUUUAAAUAGUAAGAUCUAAUCUACACUAACUUCAUUUAAAAAACAAAAACAAAAACAA